rnacentral:rRNA from 1 species
AAUCAACGCUGGCGGCGUGCCUCAGACAUGCAAGUCGAACGCGAAAGGCUCCUUCGGGGGCCGAGUAGAGUGGCGCACGGGUGAGUAACACGUAGGUAAUUUGCCUUUGGGUGGGGAAUAACUCAGGGAAACUUGAGCUAAUACCGCAUAAUGCAGCGGCUCGACAUCGAGACAGUUGUUAAAGCGGGGGAUCGCAAGACCUCGCGCCUGAAGAGAAGCCUGCGGCAGAUUAGCUAGUUGGUAGGGUAAUGGCCUACCAAGGCGACGAUCUGUAACCGGCCUGAGAGGGCGGUCGGUCACACUGACACUGACAUACGGGUCAGACUCCUACGGGAGGCAGCAGUCGGGAAUUUUGGGCAAUGGGCGCAAGCCUGACCCA